CAGUAGCCACGGUAAUACGAAGGGGGCUAGCGUUGUUCGGAAUUACUGGGCGUAAAGCGCACGUAGGCGGAUACUUAAGUUAGGGGUGAAAUCCCAGGGCUCAACCCUGGAACUGCCUUUAAUACUGGGUAUCUUGAGUUCGAGAGAGGUAAGUGGAAUUCCGAGUGUAGAGGUGAAAUUCGUAGAUAUUCGGAGGAACACCAGUGGCGAAGGCGGCUUACUGGCUCGAUACUGACGCUGAGGUGCGAAAGCGUGGGGAGCAAACAGGAUUAGAUACCCCGGUAGUCCCUGUCUCUUAUAC
rnacentral:rRNA from 1 species